rnacentral:rRNA from 1 species
AGCGCAGGCGGGAAGGUAAGUCGGUCUUAAAAGUGCGGGGCUCAACCCCCGGUGAUGGGAUCGAAACUAUCUUUCUUGAGUGCAGGAGAGGAAAGUGGAAUUCCUAGUGUAGCGGUGAAAUGCGUAGAUAUUAGGAGGAACAUCAGUUGCGAAGGCGGCUCUCUGGACUGUAACUGACACUGAGGCACGAAAGCGUGGGGAGCAAACA